rnacentral:rRNA from 1 species
AUUCCAGCUCCAAUAGCGUAUAUUAAAGUUGUUGCAGUUAAAAAGCUCGUAGUUGGAUUUCUGGGGGGCGCGUUGGGUCCGCCCGGCAACGGGUGCGCACUUUUGACGUCCGUCUCCCAUCCUCGCGAAGAGCGGCCUCGGCAUUAACUUGUCGCGGGCCGGGACUCGCGUCGUUUACUGUGAACAAAUUAGAGUGUUUAAAGCAGGCGUUUGCUGUGAAUACAUUAGCAUGGAAUAAUAAGAUAGGACUUUGGUGCUAUUUUGUUGGUUUGCACACCAAGGUAAUGAUUAACAGGGACAGUUGGGGGUAUUCGUAUUUAAUUGUCAGAGGUGAAAUUCUUGGAUUUAUGAAAGGCGAACUACUGCGAAAGCAUUUACCAAGGAUGUUUUCAUCA